rnacentral:lncRNA from 1 species
CAGACAAUGGCCUGCAAGAGAAAGGAAGAAUACAAAAUGGAAGCCUGGGAUAGAGAUCACCUCCUAGGAAAGGGGGAGGCCACCCAAGGCCUGUCAGGGGGAGGGCUCCACUUCUCAGCCCAUCUGCAGUAGGGCCACAUUCGGGGUAGGCAAGAGCAAGGCCUGCUAGAAAGGGAAACUGCUCAUCAAGAAACUGAGGGAGGCCGGGUGCGGUGGUUCAUGCCUGUAAUCCCAGCACUCUGGAAGUCCAAAAAAGUAUUCAGUGAGAUAACCUGUUGGAGAGCUUGGCACAUAGUAGGUGCUUGUUUCUAUCUACUUGUACUUGUUUCUAUUUCUUUUUCUACCCCCUCAGCCCUUAUGCCUAGGAUCUGGAGAUAGCAAUACUGUUGUCUUCAUAGGGUUGAUUAGGACUAAAUGAGACCCUGCAAAUAAAUAGCAGAGCUUGGCACAUGAGGUGCACGGUACUUAAACUUGAGUGAGGCUGUUUCUGCAUGCGCUGCACAGUUUGUGUUCACUGUCAGUUUUCAGGAAAUGUGAAUUAAUCUGUGGGGUGUCCAGAACCGGAGAGUGGGUGAACCUCAAGAGAGGGCCAUAGGAUGGCAGUCUCUCCCUGAAACGGGUGACCGCUCACUUUCUGGAUUCCCUCUAGUGCGGACACCCAGCUCAUACCAGUCACAGGGGCUGGGUGCUCCUUGAAGUCAGAGUGAACUCAUCUAUGAAGCCCAGACCAGGGCCUGACACAUGGCACAGGCUCAGCAACAGUUAACUCUCUCACUUGCCCCUCUCUUCUCCCAGCUGAGCCCAGGCCCAGUGCAACUCAAAGAAUGGAAAUUCUCUUCCACCAGCCUCAGCAAUCUGCCUCCCCCUUUGUUGAAAUAAAGCCACCGCCACAGCCGAAGCCACCACCGGAUCUCUUGCUUAUUUCAAGUCCUCCUAAAGCUUGUUGAGUUCUUAACUUAUUAAAGAUAAGCACAUGGAAAUAGGGCAUGGGGGUCUCCACCAGCAGCUGAGGUGGAGAGAGAGGAGAGCUUUGUAGGAACAGAGAAAGGAAUGUCACAAGGAAGGCAGCUGACCAGGCUUCCAGACAGACAGGGGAAUCUUUUCAUCAUGGUCUCCUUCACUGCUUUCCAAAUUUCAUUUAACCUCCAUGUUUCUUGCUGCAAUUUCAGUUGGUGUCUUUAGGGGCAGGGGAGUCAAUUGGUCACUGUUGGCUUCUUGCAGAUUUGAACCCCAAGUCUGACCACAUUUUUGCAAGACCCAUCGGGAGAAGGAUCCUCCCCUUUCUGAAAGAACAAUAUUCUGGAGGGGCUCUUCUUGACUGAUGUUUAGUAGGGUCUUCUGGGCAGAGGAGGAAGCUGAGUCAAGGAGGAACAGUAACUUGUCCAGGCUGAUACAGCACUGGCUCCUUCUUAGUCCCAUGGAAGCACAGAUCAACAUCAUUGCCCUUGCAAACUUCUCUCAGCUUAGGAGAGUCUACUCGCUCUUUGCACAUUGUUGACAUGAAAUGAAUGUUAAACACCAAACCUCAUAGAGGCCAGCCCUGCUGGGCGAGCAAUGAACCAACCCUCCUCAUGCCUGUUCAUUAUUAUAAUUAACAUUGAGCUGAGGUUGGUGGCGACCUCGCCCUCGCCAGGUAUUUGGGCUAUUUUAGCAGCUUAUUCAGAUCAGUGACAGACAGCUCUGAAUAGAUAAACUCCCCGCCAUCCAGACGAAUCAAUUGCAACACUGCCGUCACAACAAGCCCAAUAAAUCAAUCUGAUUUCAGG